GGGUUAAAGUGGGCGGUAUGGUUUUCCGGUCUAUUCUCAUGUCUAAGGACGCGGGGUUUUCAGGCCAGUUUUCAGGAAAAAACAAGGCCUUUGAGCAAACCUUUUCUUUCAAGUCAAGUAGGCUUAUCUUCGUCAAUUCGAUACACGCCGUGAGGUUCGUAAAGUAUUGGCAGAAGGAAGGAGCUCGCGGGAAUCCCCAAUGGGGAAUUGCGUCAAGGAUUGGGUGAUACCCAGAUGCUGCGACCAAAAGGCUCGAACCGGGCAGCCGUUUGAGAAAAAAGGGAACAAGGUUUCCGUAGGUGAACCUGCGGAAGGAUCAUUAACAUAAUAUUCUUACACACUGUUUUUUUACAACAAAACAAACAUAUUUAAAAACAAUUCUUUCCAAGAAAUUCUUAAAACUUUCAACAACGGAUCUCUUGGUUCUCGCAUCGAUGAAGAACGCAGCGAAAUGCGAUACGUAAUACGAAUCGCAGCUCUCGGAAUCAUCGAAUCUUUGAACGCACAUUGCACCAUUGGGUAUUCCCAAUGGUAUGCUUGUUUGAGCGAAUACUUCCCUAAUCCUCACGGAUUGUAUUGUGUUUGCACGAAAAUAAUGACGACAGUACUCUACAAAACGGUACCGUCAGUACGCUCAUUUUUUUUCCUCAAAUCAAGUAGGACUACCCGCUGAACUUAAGCAUAUCAAUAAGCGGAGGAAAGGAAGCCAACCAUGCCCACUUACAUGCCAAGCUGUUUCAAAUGUCACGCAACAGCCCCGGGGACUGCCCAUUCUUAGCACAGGUACAAACAGGUUCGAUGGCCCCUCAACUCCACUUAAUUAUGUUUCGAUUACAAAGCUUGGUAUAUCCUAUUAAACUGCCGUCUUGCUCCAGUGAAAUAUUUCAUGGCUUUUUCCAUAUAAUCCGUCACUCCUUCCAACAUACGAAUACCGACCCGACCUUUAUUUCUGAUCC
rnacentral:rRNA from 1 species